GAAGAGGACUGGCUGGAGUGCCUGGAGUGACACCCGUCGCCUUGUUGAAUCCGGAUUACGAAUUCAGGACCAUAGCAGUGAGUGGUGGCCCCGGCCGAUUACUCAGCUACUGCGCACCACGUCUGCACCUCCCCUUCCUCAUCACUCCUGAGCAUCAUUAGUCCCCCUGGGCCCCUAAGCACCUGGUAGCAUCUAAGGAGAGCCAGAUCUCAAGAACGUUUCAGGACAUUAGCUUCGGACAACCCUCGGCCAACGCUGGUGUUAAUAGCCCCUACCAUCGAUGAUCUAUGAAAGAGCACCUACUAUUUACCUGUCACUCGCCUUUGAUUGGACCCCGUCCUGGAUUCCUGAAGAAAUAUGUACCAUGGACCGCUUUCCAGUGUGAACCCCUAACCCCAAGUGAUGACAAGACUUCCUCUCCUUUCCUUUCUGACUCUCUCUGACACCCGGUCUGCUGUCACUUAACGCCAUUCAGUAAACUCAGCUUUCGCUUCCUCUUA